rnacentral:rRNA from 1 species
UUGACCUCAAAUCAGGUAGGACUACCCGCUGAACUUAAGCAUAUCAAUAAGCGGAGGAAAAGAAACUAACAAGGAUUCCCCUAGUAACUGCGAGUGAAGCGGGAAAAGCUCAAAUUUGAAAUCUGGCGGUUCUUUGACCCGUCCGAGUUGUAAUCUAGAGAAGUGCUACCUGUGCUGGACCGUGUACAAGUCUCCUGGAAUGGAGCAUCACAGAGGGUGAGAAUCCCGUCUUUGACAUGGACUGCCUGUGCGUUAUGGUGCGCUCUCGAAGAGUCGAGUUGUUUGGGAAUGCAGCUCAAAAUGGGUGGUAAAUGCCAUCUAAAGCUAAAUAUUGGCGAGAGACCGAUAGCGAACAAGUACCGUGAGGGAAAGAUGAAAAGAACUUUGGAAAGAGAGUUAAACAGUACGUGAAAUUGCUGAAAGGGAAACGCUUGAAGUCAGUCGCGUUGGCUAGAAAUCAGCCUUGCUUUUGCUUGGUGUACUUUCUGGUUCGAUGGGUCAGCAUCAAUUUUGACCAUUGGAUAAAGUCGGUGGGAAUGUGGCAUCUUAGGAUGUGUUAUAGCCCRUUGUCGCAUACAGUGGUUGGGAUUGAGGAACUCAGCACGCCGCAAGGCCGGGUCUUUUGACCACGUUCGUGCUUAGGAUGCUGGCAUAAUGGCUUUAAUCGACCCGUC